rnacentral:rRNA from 1 species
AUGUACUCACACCUCCGCCUCCAUCCUCACCGGCGGCCGCCGCUGCAAACGUACCUACCAGUAGGUGGAGUUCUCUCCUGCCCACAAGCUGCCGACGAUGAUGACUGGUGGUGCCGUGGUGGUGAUGGCCAUGAAGACGGGGAUGCAGGUCCAAAGGGGGCUCACCGAGAACAAGAUCUGGAAAAGAGUUUGGGGAUGCGUUCCUCUGAUUUGCCACUACUAUUCCCAUCUUCCCCAAAGGGUCAUGUGAAUUUUCCACGGGAUUUUAGUUUUGCCAGGAGUAAUCAACCCUGGUCGCCCUUUCCCUGGAAAUAUGCACCCUCGCAACCAAAUAAGGCCUUCGUCUUCCUGUUUGGCGGUUUGAAGAGGCCGAAUCAUUUUGGAGGCAGCAAUAUCCUGAAAUUCCCAGGCAGAUCCGACCAUGUGCUCCCCGCGCGCGCGUGGGGAGUGAAUUCGUUGGAGGCAGGGUAUCAUGGUCGCAUGUUGCUGGUGACCAUCGUCGGAGACCGCACCGAUGAGCUGCCGCCCUGCUCGACGUCCUAG